rnacentral:lncRNA from 1 species
CUCCAAAAUAAAUAGUGCAAAUUCAAACUCCAAUUAUUUUACUGAUCAUUUCUAUGAUAUAGAGAAGCCGUGAUGGUCUACCAAGAAUAAAGUAGUAAUUACACAUAGCUAAUCUUAAAUUACAAUUUUAUAAACAUAUGUGUCGUCCUUCCUCCCGUUCCUUCUUCUAGAAUUCUCUUUCACUAUUACUUUGCUAAUCAUCUGCCAUUUGCUAAUGAGUUCUAGCCACAAUUAUCUGCCAUUACUAGUAGAUCUUCCUUGCUAACCUUCUUUUAUCCUUAAUAUCUUCUUUCAGGAAUUUUACUCUUUUUUUUUCUCUAAUCAAAAUUUGGACUCAACUCUGUGAUUCACAAUUGGGGAUAAACUUGUCUGCUGCUUCUUGCUGAAUGAACUCUUGGAGCAGCAAUCGUCUACCAGGAUGGAGUAUUCUUUGAGCUUCGAACUGCUUGACGGGAAUAUUGAGGUAUAACCUUUCAGUUGUUAUUUUUGAAGGGUUUAUAUGUUAUUUUUUCCUUUUUAAUUUAUCAUAAUUAGUCAGUCCAUGGUCGACUCUCUGCUAAUUUUGAGGUAGAACUUUUUUAAGGUUUAAAAUAAGUGAAAUUUACUAAUCGAUGAUUUAAAAAUUUGAGAUAUAACCCCCUUUUAGAUUUUUGUUUGUACUGUCGGACUACAUUGCCCAUUGAUUUCUCAUCUAGAUAGAGUUAUCUAGUAAAUGUGCUCGUGUGACGUAGCAGGUAUCCCAUAAAAUUAGUCGAGGUACACACAAGCUAAUCGGAACGCCAUUGUUAUUUUUUUAAAAAAGAACUUGAAGUUGCUACUUCCUUUAAGAUUUGUAUGCUACUCAUUAUUUGUUGACAAGGCGCCCAUAGCUGCCACCUUCUGAUCUUGUAUAUGAAACUCCCCCAGGAAGCGAGCCUAAUAUUUGAAUCUUGAAGACUGAUUUACAAAUGGAACUGAGUUAUCACGGCUCUUGAAUAGAUCAAGCAAAGGUAGAAUGGAGAUCUUUAAAAAAAAUGCUCAAUGACACUGCAAGUAAAAUAAAAUAAAAUAAAUAACAUGAAGAAAAUAUUAGCCAGUACCUUUGUCAUUCAUGUAAUUUGGUAUAGUUAGCAUAACUGAGAUGCCUCAACUGAACUGUAUGCUACAUUUGCUGAUGGCUAUUUAUUUAGAUGCCCAACUAAAAUAAGAUAGAAAUACUGUAAAGCUAAAGUGGUCGACCAAGGGUAAUUUUGACAUUUCAAACCUUAGGUAGAAUUGAAAACCCCCUCAUUCAUUCUCUGUUUUGCAUUUUGUAUCUCUCAAAUUCAUUUUUACAUUCUUCAUCUAGAGUAUUCUAAGUUCAGAGUCCCUGAUAGCCCCAUCUAGCUUUCUUCUUCGUCGUCUUCUUUUAGAGAGGUAAUGAUUAUCUCUCUGCUAUUUACUUAUAGUUAUAGAUUACUGAAGUUCAAAGAUGUGUAUUUCUAGCCAAGUUGGUGGCUACUGCUCCAGUUAAACUUGGGGAAAGAAACAGUGAGAUCAUUUCGUGACAAUUUGAGAGUUUCCAAAUUGGGUAGGAGGAAAGGUACAUGGUUAUAAAUUGAUUAUUUUACCAUGGGAUCUUUUUUCAAUUUGUGGUUAUGACAAUGAAGCUAACUUCCUAUAGGUCCUUUUAUUGAUAAAUCAAAGGAGUAGGGCUUCAAUUUUGUUUGCUUUAUCUUUUUGAGCAAUUCAAUAACUCCACAUCAACUGUAUCGAGUGACAUUUUCCAUUCAAAUAUAAUUAACAAAAGAAUUCAAAAAAGAUUGUAUUGUACAAUUUUGUUUCACCAAUAUUUCUUGAGUAGAUGCUCUUAAACCGUUUGAUACUGUAUAUGCUCAUCAUUCCAAUAUAUAUCAUUUUGCACAGUUGGUUAAACAAUCCAAUUCACUGAAAUUGAAUCAUCCUAAAGAAUUUAGUGUUUGACUGAAAGGAAUGGAACUUGGGCCUAACUCAGAGGUGAGGAUUGCCCAAGCCAUAUAAGGAGACCAAGGACCUCAAAUCCCUCCGAUGUGGGACAACUCAACGGAAACAGUUCCCGUUUCUACAUAACAACCGUUUUUCAAGUCGAGUUUAAUAUCGAGGUGGCUUGUAUAGUUUUCUGGAGCGUGGACAACAUAAAUGGGGGCCCAACAUCGAUAACAAAUUGGGAUGAGCUGGCUCUGAUACCAUGAAAAGAAUGGACCUUGGGCCUAACUCAACCCUAAAAGCUAGCUUAUNNNNNNNNNNNNNNNNNNNNNNNNNNNNNNNNNNNNNNNNNNNNNNNNNNNNNNNNNNNNNNNNNNNNNNNNNNNNNNNNNNNNNNNNNNNNNNNNNNNNNNNNNNNNNNNNNNNNCUAAAAGCUAGCUUAUGAGGUGAGGAUUGCCCAAGCCAUAUAAGGAGACCAAGGACCUCAAAUCCCUCCGAUGUGGGACAACUCAACAUUGACUUCUUGUUUGGAUAAACUAUUAGAUAUUGAUUAUUGCUAUAGUGAUAUCAGAAAUUAGUACAUUCAUUCCAACCUUCAUGGUUGGCCUGGUGGCAAUUGACUUGAACCUUGGGGUUUGCUCUGUUUCAAGGUCUCAAGUUCGAAAUAUACUGGGUGUAAAUAAUUUCUGAGGGCCAUCAAACUAGAUAAAACCUGAAUUAACCGUUGUGCACUUGUUGGAAAUUCUUUGUCGAGGGCCUGUGCACCCCCGGAUUAGUAGGGCUCGAAAAGACUCGGGCACCCAGUGCAAAUAAAAAAAGUAGUACAUUCAUUUUUCAAUUGUAUUUUCAGGUAGGUGACAGUUUCAGUUUUAUGUCAGAGUUUCGUUUACGUUAUAUACAGAUAUACCUUUCUAUAGUAGCAUAAAGAGGGGUGACAAAAGGUUAUCUUUUAUUUCCUAUUUUUUCUUAGUUAAACGACUGUAAUUUAUAUUAUUUUACUCUGAUUUGCUUUACAGUUCACGUCUCCAAGUAUAGGUGAAUGUUACUCAAAAUAGUUCUCAUUUUGCUAAAUAGAUAUUAAACCCCCAUGAGUUACUCUUAAGGGUUCAAUUACUUUGUCUUUUACCUGAUCCAUUUAUAAUUGACCAACUUUUUACUACAUGGGAAUAUUACUCAAAAUAGUUCUUAUUUUGCUUAAUAGAUAUUGAGCCCCCCACGAGUUACUCUUAAGGGUUCAAUUACUUUGUCUUUUACCUGAUCCAUUUAAUUUGUGUUAGGAUAUUUUAUGACAGGUAUGGAUUUUUGUAAAGCACUCUACUUACUACUUAUUUCUGUGUGUGCUAAAAAAGGAAAUUUCAAUUUGUGUCCUCCAGUUUGUAUGGCUUCUAUAUUGUUAAAACUGAAUAUGUGGUUGUGGGCAGACUUAGGGAUACAAAAGAUAUAUAAAUAAUGAAAAGAAGUGGAGAAGGGGAAGAGGAUCGAGUCUAUGGUUGGGGAGAAGAUAGUCUUGGCAACCAAGGGCAUCAUUUACUUUAAAAAGACUAGAUGUAAUGCUAAAAGUUUUUAAACAAUCAUACAGCCUUGGCCUAUUUUACAAAUAAAAUUUUCAAUCGCUUAAUAAUGUGGUGUAUACUUAAUUCAAGAUCCGUGUAUUGUGGUACUUGGAGCAAGCAGAACGGCAAGACAAAUUAAAGCGAGCUGGCAAGACCAAAGUAAACUGGCAAGAUCAAGUAGAGCAAGCUACUUAUGAACUGUUAGAGUCUUGCAUUUCUUCCUCCUAUAAGAAAUACUUAUUAUACUUCAAACGAUCUAAGAGAAGUAGAGUUGUGAGACACUUGAUGUAAAAUUUAUGAUUGUGAAGAUCAGUAUACGUGUAUUGUGGUACUUGGAGCAAGCAGUCAGGAACUUAAACGGCAAGACAAAUUAAAGCGAGCUGGCAAGACCAAAGUAAACUGGCAAGAUCAACUAGAGCAAGCUGCUUGUGAACUGUUAGAGUCUUGUAUUUCUUUCUCCUAUAAGAAAUACUUAUGAUACCUCAAACGAUCUAAGAGAAAUAGAGUUGUGAGACACUUGACCUAAAAUUUAUGAUUGUACAUGGUUUACUUGCUUCUUAUUCAAUUUGUUGCCGCAUCUUCAUAUAUGAUCUUUUGCUCACAAAAGCAAUAGGAAAAUUUUGAAAAUAAAAUAAAAGACUAUUGCUUUCAGUUAACUUAUAUUUAUAAUGAUUGUACAAAUCUAACCAAUUUGAUUCUAUACAUGCGGGAAAUACAAACUAUUAAGUUUAUUGUUUGAGACAUAGAGUUGAAAUAGAGAUGACUUCUCAUAUGAAAUCAAGCAAACUUAAGGUCCAGCCCUUCUUAGCAUACCGCAAGAUAUUGAUAGGUUUAAAUUGAAACGGUAACUACAGUAUUGAAUAGGAUGAUAUCUUUAUAUUUGCAUAAACCUUAUACUUAUUCUUAUCCAUCAUGAUAUAAAAGACAAGCCCUCCACACUUUUUUCGCGAUGUUGUGGAGUUGCGAAUAGUUUUCACAUUUAUGGAGUCGUCAAGUAUAAACUUCUAAUGCAGGUUGCAGAUGCUUCAGAAUAUAACUGAUGUACAUAUUCAGCUUCACCCUUAUGGAUCCUUGAAACACGGACUUCAGUGACUAUAUUCAAGAUAUGAGAUGUAAGGUUAGAUAUUUUUUUACUUCAAAAACUUCAUAAGUUACUCAUGGCACUCCUCUGGAGUUAUACAAGUACUAUUACUAUUUUCUUUUCUUUUCGUCUCUGUGCUUUUUGUCCCCUUUUUAUUGUCAACCUCCAAAGCUUAUGUUGUAAGAUUUGAUGGUCAUGCAAGUAUAAUGCUAUUUCUUUCGAAUAAGAUAAUUAUUUCUUAGCAAUGAAUAUGUUGUUAUGAAUUAAACUUUUGAUUAUCCUUCUUUUAUCAACAUAAGUAGGAUGUAUGAUUAAAAUUAUAAGUGAUAUGUUUAGUUUAUGUGGUGAUACUAUAAGAUUGCAGCUCAAGAUGGUGUUAAACUUUUUGACUUGUGAGAACUUCAGAUAUUUUCUUUCUUUUUAUGAGAAUAUAUCAACUAUAGCCAACGAUUCUGUUAUAUAAAGAAGUUAAAAUAUGUUCGAAUAUUAUUGACAAUUUUUUAGGGCCAUUUUCCUUUUUCAAUUAUGGUAGCGUUUUACAUAACAAUAAAUUUUAAGGCAAUAUAAAGUGUAUUGAUACAAAAAUUCUUAGGAAGGGAGCUAAACAAAAAAUCACACUGGGUUUAAUAUGUUCACAUGUUUUACUCUCUUAUUUUUAUGGUUUCUUAAUUAGUCAUACAUAGCUUACAAGGCUAUUUAAGCUUGUUCGAUAAUAAAUUAAGCAUGAAUGUGUAAGCUUCAAAAAAUUGAUAAAUUCAAUAGAAAACUCCGAGAUUAGUGAACUUUUCACUUUUUGUGUGCAUCUGGAUCUAUCUUAAUAAGCAUGGAUUGGUGAAUCAAUCUAUAUUUUAGAUAUUAUACUUGACAAUUUUGAGGAAGACAAAACUAUUUAUCUAUCCUAUCAUUUUUUUUCUUGGUUUGCGUUAUUAUUAAUAAGAAUUUUUUCAGUUGAUCUUUUUUUCUUAAUCUUAGCAAUGGAAAUAUUAAUUGCUUUAGGUUAGUCUGAUCAAAGAACAACUACCAGCAAGUUGCACUAUAUUUAGCACCAUAAUUGGCAUAAAUUCCUUCUUUUAUUGUCUACUUGAGCUAAAUAUUGAGUAUAUAGAUGCUUCACAUUAUUUCCUUUUAGUUUUCUGGUUUCAGUGUCGAGUAUCUUUUAUUCUAUGGGAGUUGUUUGAUUAUUAACUUCAUUUAAGUUUUAGGAGAUAUAAAUCGUAAUGUAGCUAGAACUAACUAAAAAUAACUAUACCGAUUAAUCUAAUUCUCUUUGUAUCUGAUGAAUAAUAUUUUAAAGAGUACUAAACCUUGGAUAUAAACAAGAACAUAAGUUGUAUCUCCAAGUUUGGUUUAUAAGUAUUGUAAUGGUUUCUUUUCUUAUCAGAGAGACUAUUGGUGCAUUUGAAACCUUAACUUGAAGGCUGAAUAGAAAAGCUCCUUCAACAUUAAUCCAUUGGAGUGGACUGAACUUACUAACUCAAGCAAACCUCCAAUAUAUUGGUGAAAAUGUAUGCUUAAGACAACAUGUGCCGAGAGGCAUUCAGUGAAGUAAAUGUAUCUGCGUCGAGCAGUUGGUACAUGUACCAUUACUUGUACAUUGUUUGUGCAUGUUUCUAAGAUUAUUCAAAUUCAAAGGGUGGCACCUGCCUCUGAUACUGUAAAAAAAGUUAUUAUUAGCUUAGAUCAACGAGAAAGUAAAAAAGCAACGUAGAGUUGUGAGUAAUACAAUUUCAAUGUGUAAUUUUGAUAUAGUUUGAAACGGUAAGUAGGUGUAUAAAAAAUGAGAACCUUCGGUCCACACACUUUAAAUAUAGUUUGUUUGUGUUUGGUAGCUCUCGGAAUCAAAAUGAAAGUCUACAAAUAAUAAAUUCCUUAAAUCCCCUACUUCUAUUUGUAUCCCCUCUACAUCAAGCUUUUUUACCAAAGGACGUCAUGUUUAUCAGUAAACAGAACAAAACGUUAGCGAUAUUGGGCCCGUGUUCAGCACGUGUGUGCCUCAUCUAGUAAACCUAAUAUAAGUCUUCAACUUCAAAUAUGGUAAUUUCAUCUCACGAAUUGAGCCAUUUGAAAUUAUUCUUUUGUUCCCUCAAUCUGCAUUGAUCCAAUUUAUGAAGUAAACAAGUACAUGUAAAGUUCGUCGAGGUAGUUAACUUCUUUCUCUCCAAGUUCCAUUCUUCCUUCAACUAAAUGCACUUUCUAAUGCUAAUAGUUGAUAUUUGAAUCAUUAAGAUAUGUCACGAUUGAUGGACAAAAAGAUACAAACUUACAUUUUUCUUCCACUAUUUUAGAAUAUUAAAAUCAUCCUAAUUAUCGUAAGUAAAAAUUAAGAGUGUUAAGUUCAAAAUAAAAUUUGUGUUUGUGACUAAUAUCUUAUUGAAAAUAUUAAAAGUACCGAAAUAUUUGAAAGAUGGAGUAGCGAUAAUAGUCUAAGAAAUCUUUAAGUGCGUGCGAUAAUGAUGAUAAAGGUUACACUUCAUAAUUUUUUCGAAAUGUU